UCCUUUGUAGCUCAGUGGUAGAGUUAUCGGCUGUUAACCGAUGGGUCGCAGGUUCAAGUCCUGUCAAGGAAG
rnacentral:tRNA from 1 species